CGACGUUGCUUGAUGUCUUUGAGGUGCUGGCUUGGUGUUUGACAUUUGUUUGACUCAAUGCGCGCAGGCAGAUAUCGACCACACAAUCUAAGUGAAUGGUCGCCAGUUUAACCAGAUGCAGCACAGUGGUAAAGAGCAGAAUCUUUCUGCUUUUGGGGCACCUGAGGCAGAUAGUUAAAGGGUGAACCCAAGACUGACACUUUUUAAUAAGUUCAUUGAAAUAAGAAGCUGGCACAGGGUUCUCCCCAGACUGUGGAAUAACGGAUGGGACCAGAGUUGCCAACUCUCUCGGUCCCCACAACUUUACAGUGAAGGAAACAA